AACACAUGAAGUCUAGACAGUUAACACAAACACACUGGCAUGUGUACAGAAAUAUAUGUAUACAAACACAUGGCACCAUUUAAUGCUAUGUUGCUCAGACUCAGGAACAAUAUCGGAUGUUGUAAUGUGUGCAACAAUCAGGUUCAUUGUUUGGCAUAUUUUUUGUUAUUAUAUUAUGCUUGCUACUAUAACCUUCAUGCCAGAUGCUAGUACUAUAGGGAAGUGAAGAAACUGAGUAAUGCAAGAGAGCCAAAAGACCUGAUAGCUUUGUGAGUUUGGUAACUUACCAAGUCCAUGUUAAGAAAGUCCUCAAUCUUAGUGUUAUUAAUUCUCAUAUGCAACGUGAAUACGAGCAUUCUGCACCUCUGUAAGCUGGUUCAAUGUCUCCAUAUUAGAGCCUUCAUUUAGAUCCACAUAUCCAAAUAGAAAUAGGUUCAUUUUUAGCAUACUUUUGAU